GGGGCCUUGAGAAAAAAAAUAGGGUGCCAAUGGCCAUUCUGAGAUUUUAUGCAAAUUUUCAGUAGUUUGGUGUACUUGUAAAUGAAACUGUAGACCCAGCAGGGACUGAAGGAGUUCCAGUGAACUAGACUAGUUUCUCCUUCUUGUGUCAUCUUGUGGUGUUGCUGUUUUCAUCUCUUCAACUACAUCAUGAAAUCUGCAAUGCACUUCGCCCGUGGCGGAUUUAAAGGUGAGGAGAGGAGCUGAUGUGAUGUGGUAAAAACAGGACUCAGCUGUGUUAAAAACCUCUGCACGCCUUAUCCUCUCCUUCUUUUCUACUUGUGCCACUAGGAGGAGCUGUGUUAGGGAGAGGGCUACAUGUGCCGGGCUACACCACUCACCAAAAUGCAAUGUGUGCUUGGACAUGCCUCAUCGGCGCGGCAGGAAAAUAGAGCCCAUGGAGUUAAAAUCAAACACCAAGCCCAGGCUGAUAACGGAUCUGCCGAAACAGCACAAAAACUGAAGAUUUAGCUCUGGAACUUGAAAUUACUUACGAUUUGAUUAAAUACUGGGCUUUUUUACUCUGUUAAACACUUGAUCCUGAUUGGUCAAAAUCCCAUGACACAAGUUUAGGAUACUAAGAGCAAGAAAAUCAUAUCACAUGUCAUAUCAAUAUAACGUCCAUUAGCCUCAGUAAACAACAAAGAGUAUGUUUCCAGUACUACUUGCAGAGGGUGUUAAAAUACUCAAGAAAGCAAUAAAGACAUCAAUCAAAUUAAAGAAAACAGUAUGUGUUUUUAUGCAAAGGACAAGUCAAAUCAAUCUACGUCAAUCUGGGGCACUGUUCAUGAUUUUACCACUUCCUGUUGAUAAUGUGGCAGAAUUAGUACUUUCUGAUCUCAUUGCCCCUGGUUUGUGUCACUUUUGGCUCCGCCCAGACAAAGCAGUCUUUGCUCAUCUUGUCUAAUAAUCCAACUCCUCUCCUUUGUUCCACUUGUUCUGAACAAUAUUUUUCAUUUCUAGGAUUCACAUUUUUGAUAAUGUUGACUUACAGUCACUGUGAGGAGUUUAACUGGUUUUGAAAUAACUUACAGAGUGAAAUACAAUUACCAUCAACAAGACUGAAUGUUUGUGCCUGUUCUUGGUUUGGAUUGUACUUCAGGAUAGAGUUUCUUUUUAAAUAGUGUUUUAUUUCUUGUAAUUAGCAGUACAUAUUAUUCUAAACACAGAAACUCUGCAAUCAAGGUUUUCCUAAGUAGAGAAUUAAAAUGGCAAUGAACAAGUUGAAAGGUUAACCAGGGUUUCACUAGCAAUGACCAUGCCACAACGAUAUAAGUUUGAAUAUUUAAUACAAGUUCAGGAAUGUGUAUAUCUUGUCUGAUGCGUGUAUGUUGUGAUGGAUAAUGACGUCGAUGAGGAGUGUCGCAUGUCUGGUUGGUCUGGGAGGUUCUGUAGAGGCCCGGCAGUGAGAGACUCAGGAUGGGGGUUCCAUCUCAGGCGUAGCUCUGCCCAAGCUUGGUCCGACCCCCAAAGAGUUAUAAUGAAAGGGCGCUUAAUUGAGUGUGGGCCUGACGCAGAUCGUGGAGAUUAUUUCGGAUGUAGGAGAGGUAUGCCUGAGAUGACCAUCGUCCAAGGGUUUGAAUUGUUCGAUCUGAUAUGCCAAGCCCGGCUGCUGUGGAUGCUGCGCCGAUGCAGAAUGAAUGGGCUGAGUAGUGCUCUGAUAUUAUCCCUGACAUGAGUAGGACUUGAUGCAGGUGUUCAUGGAACCAGAAUCGUAUCGCCAUUUUUCCAUUUUUGGUAAGGAAAAGAGGGUCGUGAGGUGAUGCUUGAGCUGCAUACCUGGAGCUGAUGUAUUUGGUGAGUGGUUCGAAUGGACUGAGGCAGUAAUUUAAGCGGAAGAUGUAAAUGGAAGUGUAAACUGCAAUGUCUGAUAGUUUGGGGUGAUAGGAUGGAUUGAAGAAGGAGGAAGUCGGAGCGAAUUUGGAGCAUCAGAGGAAACCGAAGAAGGCGAGCAGGAACAUUGAUUCUAGUGUAGAAUCAACCGUUGGAGAUGAGUAGCCUGAACGUAGGGUACGAAUGCAGAGGCUGAGUAAGUUGGAGGUGAGUGGUAGGCACUAGUGGGGAAAGUAGGUUCCUUUUUUCUUAAACCCUUGAUCAGCAUGGUGACGUGAGAGUAGGAGGUAGCGGUGCAUUGAGAGCCAGUGAUGAGUUUGAGGAAGAAAUUGAUGCCAGCGAGGUAAGUUUGAAUGGUAGAGGAUCGGAUAUUUUGGAUGGUGUGGGCGCGAGUUAUGAAAUUGCAGAUGGAUACAAUGUCCAGAGAUGGGAAGGGCAGCUGGUAUGCGGAGUGGUAGGACUUGAAGCAGUUCCAGCCUGUCAGGUAAGCAGAUAGAGUGCUGGGAGCAAGACUGUUGAGAACUGCAUCUUGUGAGUCAUGAGUGAGGUUUAGUAGCUGGGGAGUUAAUUGAACGUUGUGGCUGAAAACGGUGGGACUGGUGAGGGAUGCGGAUCGGACUCUGGGGCCAGAUGUCUGAAUUCCUGAAAGGAGAAGCGAGACAGAGCGUCAGCAAUGGUGUUCUGGUAUCCAGGAAUAGGAGCUGCCCUGAGAAUGAAUUGAUGAGGAGAUGAGAUUAGUGUGAGUCUGCGCAGAAACUGCAUGAUUGACGGGGAAUAAGAUCUGCCUUUGUUCAGGAUUUCUACGACUGCUGUGUUAUAUCUGAGAUGCUCCAGCCUUAUUGCCCACCCCGACCCCUAAGAUCAGCUGAUCAACUGUUACUGACGGUCCCCAGUACUAGGCUGAAGCUCAGAGGGGACAGAGCAUUUGCCGCUGCUGCCCCUAAGCUCUGGAAUGAGUUGCCCUUGAAAAUUAGGAAGGUCUCCUCAUUUCCUGUUUUUAAAUCUCUUUUAAAAAUGCACUUUUACUCCUUGGCUUUUGAUACAUUAUAGUGUUUUUUUUUUUUUUAUCAUCUUAGCACUUGCCGUGAGCCUGCUCAUUUACAUACUUAUUUAUUCUUUUGCAUUAAUGUAUUUCUGCUCGCUUUAUCUUGUUCUUUGAUUGUUUUAUUUGUUUUUAUGUGUCAUUGUACAGCACUUUGGCUACCCUUUUGGUUCUUUUAAAUGUGCUAUAGAAAUAAAGUUGAUUGAUUGAUUGAUUGAU